rnacentral:rRNA from 1 species
UGCAAGUCGAGGGGCAGCACGUCUUCGGAUGGUGGCGACCGGCGCACGGGUGCGUAACGCGUAUGCAACCUACCUUUAACUGGAGCAUAGCCCCGAGAAAUCGGGAUUAAUACUCCAUAACAUUUUUGAGUGGCAUCACUUAAAAUUAAAGCUUUGGCGGUUAAAGAUGGGCAUGCGUGACAUUAGUUUGUUGGUGAGGUAACGGCUCACCAAGACUUCGAUGUCUAGGGGUUCUGAGAGGAUUAACCCCCACACUGGUACUGAGACACGGACCAGACUCC